UUCUUUUUUCAGAGCGGAGAAAGUCUAAGAAAAGGGGAUUUCGAUAUGAUUUUUAAGAAGAAAGAAGGAGAGAUUAAGAAGGAGCAAGCAAAGUAUUGUUUACUACUUCUAGAAUCAAGCGUUUGGGUGAAACAAAACUUGGAACGAGAUCUCGUAGAAUUGGAAAAAGAUAUUAUCAACCUAAUCAAGGAAACGUAAACCAAGGCAAGGGAAACGGAAUAAUUGAAAAUUAGGAGUCAGUUUAUAUAUAAUUAUUAUCUUUUGUAUAAAACUUCAUGUGUCAAGACACCAGAUAGAUCUUGGUGUAGUUUUAAUGUGUUUGUAUGUAUUUCCUUUUGUCUGUAGAUAGUUAACUAAUCACGGUGGUUUGAUGAAUCAUAUUUCUAAAAA